rnacentral:rRNA from 1 species
AUGCAAGUCGAACGGCAGCACGGGAGCAAUCCUGGUGGCGAGUGGCGAACGGGUGAGUAAUACAUCGGAACGUGUCCUGGAGUGGGGGAUAGCCCGGCGAAAGCCGGAUUAAUACCGCAUACGCUCUAUGGAGGAAAGCGGGGGAUCUUCGGACCUCGCGCUCAAGGGGCGGCCGAUGGCGGAUUAGCUAGUUGGUGGGGUAAAGGCCUACCAAGGCGACGAUCCGUAGCUGGUCUGAGAGGACGACCAGCCACACUGGGACUGAGACACGGCCCAGACUCCUACGGGAGGCAGCAGUGGGGAAUUUUGGACAAUGGGGGAAACCCUGAUCCAGCAAUGCCGCGUGUGUGAAGAAGGCCUUCGGGUUGUAAAGCACUUUUGUCCGGAAAGAAAUCCUUUGGGCUAAUACCCCGGGGGGAUGACGGUACCGGAAGAAUAAGCACCGGCUAACUACGUGCCAGCAGCCGCGGUAAUACGUAGGGUGCGAGCGUUAAUCGGAAUUACUGGGCGUAAAGCGUGCGCAGGCGGUUCGCUAAGACCGAUGUGAAAUCCCCGGGCUUAACCUGGGAACUGCAUUGGUGACUGGCGGGCUAGAGUAUGGCAGAGGGGGGUAGAAUUCCACGUGUAGCAGUGAAAUGCGUAGAGAUGUGGAGGA